rnacentral:rRNA from 1 species
AUUGAACGCUGGCGGCAUGCUUUACACAUGCAAGUCGAACGGUAACAGGUUAAGCUGACGAGUGGCGAACGGGUGAGUAAUGCAUCGGAACGUGCCCGGUCGUGGGGGAUAACGCAGCGAAAGCUGCGCUAAUACCACAUACGAUCGAAGGAUGAAAGCGGGGGACCGUAAGGCCUCGCGCGAUCGGAGCGGCCGAUGUCAGAUUAGGUAGUUGGUGGGGUAAAGGCUCACCAAGCCAACGAUCUGUAGCUGGUCUGAGAGGACGACCAGCCACACUGGGACUGAGACACGGCCCAGACUCCUACGGGAGGCAGCAGUGGGGAAUUUUGGACAAUGGGCGAAAGCCUGAUCCAGCAAUGCCGCGUGCAGGAAGAAGGCCUUCGGGUUGUAAACUGCUUUUGUACGGAGCGAAAAGGUCCCCUCUAAUACAGGGGGCUCAUGACGGUACCGUAAGAAUAAGCACCGGCUAACUACGUGCCAGCCGCCGCCGUAA